ensembl:lncRNA
CUCUUCUCCCUCCAUCCAUUCCCACUGCCUGGCCCCAUCUGUCUCCUCUCCGUUGCGCUGUGUGUCUGUCUUUUCUGUCUCUCUGGAUCGGUGUCUUCCUGCAUCCAUGUCUGUCUGUCACUCUGCAUGUCCGUCUCUUUCUUGCUCUGUCUCUGUCUCAUUCUGCCCAUCCACUCUGGCAUCUGUGGGUCUUCACGUCGCUAUCACCCUGGGGGUCUUUGUCUCUUUGUGCUGGGUCUUUUUGCUCUUCUCUCUCUCUCUCGUCUCUGCCUCUCUGUGUCUCUGUCUUCCCUGAGGGUGUGUGUGUGUGUGUGUGUCUGUCUGUCCAUCCACUAGCUCUCAGGCAACUGAAAAUACCCCCUGCAUCCCAUUUGAUGUGCAGUUGUGAGAUUCCCUUUGAAUAUUGCAGCAGCGAGUUGACGGUUGCCAAGGGAACAGGUGGGCUUAGAAGAAGCAGAUGCCCUGAUUCCAGCCAUGGAGACCUGAGGUUGCCUCUGCAAUGCCUGGAAUUUUGGCAGCCAUCUUGGGAUCAUGAGAAAAGUCAGCCUGAAGGAAACGUGCUGAGAAGGACAAAGGAGAAAGGUGGGAGGUUCUGGGACCUGUGGCUUCUCCUAUCAUCCUACUGGGGAGGGUGAUAAAGUCUCUUAGCUAAGCCAUGUUAAUUUGGGUUUUCGGCUGCUUGCAGCCAAAAAUUUAGCCCAACUGACAUGCAGACGGAGGAUGACGAGCCAAUACCCAGCCUCUCUGUCUGCAACACUCCUUGUCCUCCUGCAACUCACCUCUUUUCACUUCUCCUCUGAAAAGCCUGGCGUUUUCUUCUAUCCUACUUUCUGCAGGCGAAGGGCCUGAAAGUGGCUGUGGGAAGCUUCUUUGGUCUAUUCCCUCUCCUGAGAGUCCACGAAAUGUGAGAUGGGGGUCACUUCUCAGCUGAGUGUGCCCCCCAGUGACUGCUGGGCUCCAGCUUCUCCUGCAUGCAGCAAGGCUUGGAAGCCCCUCAGCCCCGCCACACUCUACUCACCUUCAUCCAGUGCAGCUACACAGGGCAUGGUCCAGCCACAAGCUCAUCUGUUCCAGACACCACCCGAGGCCCCUCAAUCUGACCACAUCUAGAUCAGAGGCUGCCAAGGAGGCUCAAGACUGCAUAGACUUGAAUGGCAGGGGACAAGCUCAGGAUGGCCUGAGACCUGAUUUUAUUUUUUAUGGGACUAUGUAGUGUACAAUGUGAUGUUUUGAUAUAAGUAUGCAUUUUGAAAUGAUUACAUUGGGCCAAUUAAGUUUUUGAUCACUUCACAUACUUAUCAUUUUGGGGGGGUGCUGAGUGCAUUUAGGAUCUACUUUCAGUAAUUUUCAAGUGUACAUACAUUAUUAUUAACUAAUAAUGCACCUUAUAUACCAUUCCAUAAAAUAGAUCUCCAGAACUUAUUUAUCCUGUCUCUUUGACCAACAUCUCCCUAUCCUCCUCAUCCCCUAGUCCCUAGCAAUGACCAUUGUUCUCUCUGCUUCUAUAAGGUCAACUUUUUAGAUUCCACAUAUAAGUGAGGUCAUGUAGUAUUUGUUUUUCUGUUACUGACUUAUUUCACUUAGCGCGAUGUCCUCCAGGUUCAUCUAUGGCAGGAUUUUCUUCUUUUUUAGGUCCGCAUUGUACCAUGUGUCUAUUUUCCAUGUUUUCUUUAUCCAUUCAUCUGUUGAUGGAUACUUAGGUUGAUUUCAUAUCUUGGCUAUUGUGAACAAUGCUACAAUGAAUGAGGGUAGAUAUCUCUUCACCAUAUUGAUUUCACUUCCUUUGGGCAUAUACCUGGAAAUGAGAUUGUCGGAUCAAAUAGUAGUUCUAUUCUUAGUUUUCGAGAAAACUCUAAACUAUUUUCAAUAAUGGCUGUACUAAUUCACUGUUGUUCAUCAACAGUGUACAAGGGUUCCCUUUUCUCCAUAUCAUUGCUAGUACCUGUUAUCUUUUAUCUUUUUUAUAAUAGCCGUUCUAACAGGUGUGAGAUGAUAUCUCAUCUUAGUUGUCAUUUGCAUUUUCCUGAUUAGUGAUGUUGAGUACUUUUCAUACACCUCUUGACCAUUUUUAUGUCCCUUUUGAGAAAUGCCUAUUCAGAUCCUUCAGCCACUUUUAAAUCAAGCUAUUAGUUUUCUUGUUAUUGAGUUAUUUGAAUUCCUUAUGUAUUUUGGAUAUUAAUUCAUUAUCAGAUAUAGAGUUUGCAAAUAUUUUCUCCUAUUCCAUAGCUUGCCUCUUCACUCUGUUGAUUGUUUCCUUUCCUGUGCAGAAGCUAUUAAGUUCAAUGCAAUUUCUUUGAUCUAUUUUACUUAUGUUUUCUGUGCCAUUGGGGCCAUAUCCAAAAAAAUCCUUUUCCAGACCAGGACCCUGGAGCUUUCCCCCUGUUUUCUUCUAGUAGUUUUACAGUUUCAGAUCUUACAUUAAGUUUUUGAUUCAUCUUAAAUUGAUUUUUGUAUGUGGUAUGAGAUGAGGGUCUAAUUUUAUUCUUUUGCAUAUGGAUUUCACAGCAUCAUUUAUUGAAGAAACUGUUCAUUCUCUAUUUUAUGUUCUUGGCAACUUUGUCAAAGAUCAAUUGACCACAAAUGCAUGAAGUUAUGUCUGGGAUCUUUAUUCUUUCCAUUGGCAUCUGUAUCUCUUUUUAUGCCACUAACAUGCUGUUUUGAUUACUAUAGCUUUUUAGUAUAUUUUGAAAUCAGGUGCUGUGAUGUUUCCAGCUUUGUUUUUAUUCCCUCAAGAUUGUUUUGGCUCUUUCGGGUCCAUACAAAUUUUAAGAUUUUUCUUUCCCUUUCUGUGAAAAAUGACACUGGGAUCCUUGCAGGGAUUGAAUUGAAUCUGUAGAUUGCUUGGGUAGUUUGGACAUUUUAACAAUAUUAAUUUUUCCAAAGCAUGGACCAACUAUCCUUCCAUUUAUUCAUGUC